AAGCGCGCGCAGGCGUUCUUUAAGUCUAUGUNAAGCCCCCGCUCAACCGGGAGGGUCAUUGAAACUGGGAACUGAGUGCAGAAGAGAAAGCGGAAUUCCACGUGAGCGGUGAAAUGCGAGAGAUGUGGAGAACACCAGUGGCGAAGGCGGCUUUCUGGUCUGUAACUGACGCUGAGGCGCGAAAAGCGUGGGAGCAAACACGAUUAGAUACCCUGGUAGUCCACGCCGUAAACGAUGAGUGCUAAGUGUUAGAGGGUUUCCGCCCUUUAGUGCUGCAGCUAACGCAUUAAGCACUCCGCCUGGGGAGUACGGCCGCAAGGCUGAAACUCAAAGGAAUUGACGGGGGCCCGCACAAGCGGUGGAGCAUGUGGUUUAAUUCGAAGCAACGCGAAGAACCUUACCAGGUCUUGACAUCCUCUGACACUCCUAGAGAUAGGACUUUCCCCUUCGGGGGACAGAGUGACANGGUGGUGCAUGGUUGUCGUCAGCUCGUGUCGUGAGAUGUUGGGUUAAGUCCCGCAACGANGCGCAACCCUUGAUCUUANGUUGCCANGCAUUCANGUUGGGCACUCUAANGGUGNCUGCCGGUGACAAANCCGGANGGAAGGUGGGGAUGACGUCAAAUCAUCAUGCCCCUUAUGA
rnacentral:rRNA from 1 species